rnacentral:rRNA from 1 species
AACGCGAAGAACCUUACCAAGGCUUGACAUAUAGAGGAAAAGUGCAGAGAUGCACUCCCCGCAAGGUCUCUAUACAGGUGGUGCAUGGUUGUCGUCAGCUCGUGUCGUGAGAUGUUGGGUUAAGUCCCGCAACGAGCGCAACCCUCGUCCUAUGUUGCCAGCACGUAAUGGUGGGAACUCAUGGGAUACUGCCGGGGUCAACUCGGAGGAAGGUGGGGAUGACGUCAAAUCAUCAUGCCCCUUAUGUCUUGGGCUUCACGCAUGCUACAAUGGCCGGUACAGAGGGCUGCAAUACCGUAAGGUGGAGCGAAUCCCAAAAAGCCGGUCUCAGUUCGGAUUGAGGUCUGCAACUCGACCUCAUGAAGUCGGAGUCGCUAGUAAUCGUAGAUCAGCAACGCUACGGUGAAUACGUUCCCGGGUCUUGUACACACCG